rnacentral:lncRNA from 1 species
CUACUUUUUGCCUCCCUCACAAAGGCGGCGGAAGGUGAUCGAAUUCCGGUGAUGCGAGUUGUUCUCCGUCUAUAAAUACGCCUCGCCCGAGCUGUGCGGUAGGCAUUGAGGCAGCCAGCGCAGGGGCUUCUGCUGAGGGGGCAGGCGGAGCUUGAGGAAACCGCAGAUAAGUUUUUUUCUCUUUGAAAGAUAGAGAUUAAUACAACUACUUAAAAAAUAUAGUCAAUAGGUUACUAAGAUAUUGCUUAGCGUUAAGUUUUUAACGUAAUUUUAAUAGCUUAAGAUUUUAAGAGAAAAUAUGAAGACUUAGAAGAGUAGCAUGAGGAAGGAAAAGAUAAAAGGUUUCUAAAACAUGACGGAGGUUGAGAUGAAGCUUCUUCAUGGAGUAAAAAAUGUAUUUAAAAGAAAAUUGAGAGAAAGGACUACAGAGCCCCGAAUUAAUACCAAUAGAAGGGCAAUGCUUUUAGAUUAAAAUGAAGGUGACUUAAACAGCUUAAAGUUUAGUUUAAAAGUUGUAGGUGAUUAAAAUAAUUUGAAGGCGAUCUUUUAAAAAGAGAUUAAACCGAAGGUGAUUAAAAGACCUUGAAAUCCAUGACGCAGGGAGAAUUGCGUCAUUUAAAGCCUAGUUAACGCAUUUACUAAACGCAGACGAAAAUGGAAAGAUUAAUUGGGAGUGGUAGGAUGAAACAAUUUGGAGAAGAUAGAAGUUUGAAGUGGAAAACUGGAAGACAGAAGUACGGGAAGGCGAAGAAAAGAAUAGAGAAGAUAGGGAAAUUAGAAGAUAAAAACAUACUUUUAGAAGAAAAAAGAUAAAUUUAAACCUGAAAAGUAGGAAGCAGAAGAAAAAAGACAAGCUAGGAAACAAAAAGCUAAGGGCAAAAUGUACAAACUUAGAAGAAAAUUGGAAGAUAGAAACAAGAUAGAAAAUGAAAAUAUUGUCAAGAGUUUCAGAUAGAAAAUGAAAAACAAGCUAAGACAAGUAUUGGAGAAGUAUAGAAGAUAGAAAAAUAUAAAGCCAAAAAUUGGAUAAAAUAGCACUGAAAAAAUGAGGAAAUUAUUGGUAACCAAUUUAUUUUAAAAGCCCAUCAAUUUAAUUUCUGGUGGUGCAGAAGUUAGAAGGUAAAGCUUGAGAAGAUGAGGGUGUUUACGUAGACCAGAACCAAUUUAGAAGAAUACUUGAAGCUAGAAGGGGAAGUUGGUUAAAAAUCACAUCAAAAAGCUACUAAAAGGACUGGUGUAAUUUAAAAAAAACUAAGGCAGAAGGCUUUUGGAAGAGUUAGAAGAAUUUGGAAGGCCUUAAAUAUAGUAGCUUAGUUUGAAAAAUGUGAAGGACUUUCGUAACGGAAGUAAUUCAAGAUCAAGAGUAAUUACCAACUUAAUGUUUUUGCAUUGGACUUUGAGUUAAGAUUAUUUUUUAAAUCCUGAGGACUAGCAUUAAUUGACAGCUGACCCAGGUGCUACACAGAAGUGGAUUCAGUGAAUCUAGGAAGACAGCAGCAGACAGGAUUCCAGGAACCAGUGUUUGAUGAAGCUAGGACUGAGGAGCAAGCGAGCAAGCAGCAGUUCGUGGUGAAGAUAGGAAAAGAGUCCAGGAGCCAGUGCGAUUUGGUGAAGGAAGCUAGGAAGAAGGAAGGAGCGCUAACGAUUUGGUGGUGAAGCUAGGAAAAAGGAUUCCAGGAAGGAGCGAGUGCAAUUUGGUGAUGAAGGUAGCAGGCGGCUUGGCUUGGCAACCACACGGAGGAGGCGAGCAGGCGUUGUGCGUAGAGGAUCCUAGACCAGCAUGCCAGUGUGCCAAGGCCACAGGGAAAGCGAGUGGUUGGUAAAAAUCCGUGAGGUCGGCAAUAUGUUGUUUUUCUGGAACUUACUUAUGGUGAUUUAAUAAUAAUUUAAAACUACUAUAGAAACUGCAGAGCAAAGGAAGUGGCUUAAUGAUCCUGAAGGGAUUUCUUCUGAUGGUAGCUUUUGUAUUAUCAAACUUUUUUCAGAUAACAUCUUCUGAGUCAUAACCAGCCUGGCAGUAUGAUGGCCUAGAUGCAGAGAAAACAGCUCCUUGACAGGUAUCUCUUCGUUAUCAGAAGAGUUGCUUCAUUUCAUCUGGGAGCAGAAAACAGCAGGCAGCUGUUAACAGAUAAGUUUAACUUGCAUCUGCAGUAUUGCAUGUUAGGGAUAAGUGCUUAUUUUUAAGAGCUGUGGAGUUCUUAAAUAUCAACCAUGGCACUUUCUCCUGACCCCUUCCCUAGGGGAUUUCAGGAUUGAGAAAUUUUUCCAUCGAGCCUUUUUAAAAUUGUAGGACUUGUUCCUGUGGGCUUCAGUGAUGGGAUAGUACACUUCACUCAGAGGCAUUUGCAUCUUUAAAUAAUUUCUUAAAAGCCUCUAAAGUGAUCAGUGCCUUGAUGCCAACUAAGGAAAUUUGUUUAGCAUUGAAUCUCUGAAGGCUCUAUGAAAGGAAUAGCAUGAUGUGCUGUUAGAAUCAGAUGUUACUGCUAAAAUUUACAUGUUGUGAUGUAAAUUGUGUAGAAAACCAUUAAAUCAUUCAAAAUAAUAAACUAUUUUUAUUAGAGAAUGUAUACUUUUAGAAAGCUGUCUCCUUAUUUAAAUAAAAUAGUGUUUGUCUGUAGUUCAGUGUUGGGGCAAUCUUGGGGGGGAUUCUUCUCUAAUCUUUCAGAAACUUUGUCUGCGAACACUCUUUAAUGGACCAGAUCAGGAUUUGAGCGGAAGAACGAAUGUAACUUUAAGGCAGGAAAGACAAAUUUUAUUCUUCAUAAAGUGAUGAGCAUAUAAUAAUUCCAGGCACAUGGCAAUAGAGGCCCUCUAAAUAAGGAAUAAAUAACCUCUUAGACAGGUGGGAGAUUAUGAUCAGAGUAAAAGGUAAUUACACAUUUUAUUUCCAGAAAGUCAGGGGUCUAUAAAUUGACAGUGAUUAGAGUAAUACUUUUUCACAUUUCCAAAGUUUGCAUGUUAACUUUAAAUGCUUACAAUCUUAGAGUGGUAGGCAAUGUUUUACACUAUUGACCUUAUAUAGGGAAGGGAGGGGGUGCCUGUGGGGUUUUAAAGAAUUUUCCUUUGCAGAGGCAUUUCAUCCUUCAUGAAGCCAUUCAGGAUUUUGAAUUGCAUAUGAGUGCUUGGCUCUUCCUUCUGUUCUAGUGAGUGUAUGAGACCUUGCAGUGAGUUUAUCAGCAUACUCAAAAUUUUUUUCCUGGAAUUUGGAGGGAUGGGAGGAGGGGGUGGGGCUUACUUGUUGUAGCUUUUUUUUUUUUUACAGACUUCACAGAGAAUGCAGUUGUCUUGACUUCAGGUCUGUCUGUUCUGUUGGCAAGUAAAUGCAGUACUGUUCUGAUCCCGCUGCUAUUAGAAUGCAUUGUGAAACGACUGGAGUAUGAUUAAAAGUUGUGUUCCCCAAUGCUUGGAGUAGUGAUUGUUGAAGGAAAAAAUCCAGCUGAGUGAUAAAGGCUGAGUGUUGAGGAAAUUUCUGCAGUUUUAAGCAGUCGUAUUUGUGAUUGAAGCUGAGUACAUUUUGCUGGUGUAUUUUUAGGUAAAAUGCUUUUUGUUCAUUUCUGGUGGUGGGAGGGGACUGAAGCCUUUAGUCUUUUCCAGAUGCAACCUUAAAAUCAGUGACAAGAAACAUUCCAAACAAGCAACAGUCUUCAAGAAAUUAAACUGGCAAGUGGAAAUGUUUAAACAGUUCAGUGAUCUUUAGUGCAUUGUUUAUGUGUGGGUUUCUCUCUCCCCUCCCUUGGUCUUAAUUCUUACAUGCAGGAACACUCAGCAGACACACGUAUGCGAAGGGCCAGAGAAGCCAGACCCAGUAAGAAAAAAUAGCCUAUUUACUUUAAAUAAACCAAACAUUCCAUUUUAAAUGUGGGGAUUGGGAACCACUAGUUCUUUCAGAUGGUAUUCUUCAGACUAUAGAAGGAGCUUCCAGUUGAAUUCACCAGUGGACAAAAUGAGGAAAACAGGUGAACAAGCUUUUUCUGUAUUUACAUACAAAGUCAGAUCAGUUAUGGGACAAUAGUAUUGAAUAGAUUUCAGCUUUAUGCUGGAGUAACUGGCAUGUGAGCAAACUGUGUUGGCGUGGGGGUGGAGGGGUGAGGUGGGCGCUAAGCCUUUUUUUAAGAUUUUUCAGGUACCCCUCACUAAAGGCACCGAAGGCUUAAAGUAGGACAACCAUGGAGCCUUCCUGUGGCAGGAGAGACAACAAAGCGCUAUUAUCCUAAGACCCUUCACCCCUCACCUCGAUGCAGCCAGUAGCUUGGAUCCUUGUGGGCAUGAUCCAUAAUCGGUUUCAAGGUAAUAGCCUGCAGCUGGUGUUUUGAGAAGCCCUACUGCUGAAAACUUAACAAUUUUGUGUAAUAAAAAUGGAGAAG